UACGAAGGGGGCUAGCGUUGUUCGGAUUUACUGGGCGUAAAGCGCGCGUAGGCGGACAUCUAAGUCAGGGGUGAAAUCCCAAGGCUCAACCUUGGAACUGCCUUUGAUACUGGACGUCUGGAGAUCGGGAGAGGUGAGUGGAAUUCCGAGUGUAGAGGUGAAAUUCGUAGAUAUUCGGAGGAACACCAGAAGCGAAGGCGGCUCACUGGCCCGAUACUGACGCUGAGGCGCGAAAGCGUGGGGAGCAAACAGG
rnacentral:rRNA from 1 species